GUUGUCUUGUGUGGAGCAGCUGAGUUCAUAUCUCCACCCUCAGUAUGACGGGAAAACUCUACCUUCUGCUGCUCUCUCUCUGUCUGCCGUGUUUAAAUGGACAGAGUCUGGAGUCCAGUYCCUCCAGUUCAGUCCUGAAAAAGCUUGGAGAAACUAUAAGUCUCUCCUGUAAGAUAUCUGGAUUCACCUUUGGCAGCCACAACACACACUGGCUACGACAGCCAGCUGGAAAGUCCCUGGAAUGGAUGGGUUACUCUGGAUUAGGCCUAGGUAACCAUGCUAAAAGGUUUGAAGGACGCAUGGAAACRACUAAAGAUAAUUCCAACAGCAUGAUGACUCUGAAGCUGUCUGGUCUGAAAGCAGAGGACUCKGCUGUGUAUUACUGUGCACGAGAG